AGUCGAACGAUGAACUCCAGCUUGCUGGGGGGAUUAGUGGCGAACGGGUGAGUAACACGUGAGUAACCUGCCCUUGACUCUGGGAUAAGCGCUGGAAACGGCGUCUAAUACCGGAUACGAGCUUCAGCCGCAUGGCUAGGAGUUGGAAAGAAUUUCGGUCAAGGAUGGACUCGCGGCCUAUCAGCUAGUUGGUGAGGUAAUGGCUCACCAAGGCGACGACGGGUAGCCGGCCUGAGAGGGUGACCGGCCACACUGGGACUGAGACACGGCCCAGACUCCUACGGGAGGCAGCAGUGGGGAAUAUUGCACAAUGGGCGAAAGCCUGAUGCAGCAACGCCGCGUGAGGGAUGACGGCCUUCGGGUUGUAAACCUCUUUUAGUAGGGAAGAAGCGAAAGUGACGGUACCUGCAGAAAAAGCACCGGCUAACUACGUGCCAGCAGCCGCGGUAAUACGUAGGGUGCAAGCGUUGUCCGGAAUUAUUGGGCGUAAAGAGCUCGUAGGCGGUUUGUCGCGUCUGCUGUGAAAUCUGGGGGCUCAACCCCCAGCCUGCAGUGGGUACGGGCAGACUAGAGUGCGGUAGGGGAGAUUGGAAUUCCUGGUGUAGCGGUGGAAUGCGCAGAUAUCAGGAGGAACACCGAUGGCGAAGGCAGAUCUCUGGGCCGUAACUGACGCUGAGGAGCGAAAGCGUGGGGAGCGAACAGGAUUAGAUACCCUGGUAGUCCACGCCGUAAACGUUGGGAACUAGAUGUGGGGACCAUUCCACGGUCUCCGUGUCGCAGCUAACGCAUUAAGUUCCCCGCCUGGGGAGUACGGCCGCAAGGCUAAAACUCAAAGGAAUUGACGGGGGCCCGCACAAGCGGCGGAGCAUGCGGAUUAAUUCGAUGCAACGCGAAGAACCUUACCAAGGCUUGACAUAUACCGGGAAACGGCCAGAGAUGGUCGCCCCGCAAGGUCGGUAUACAGGUGGUGCAUGGUUGUCGUCAGCUCGUGUCGUGAGAUGUUGGGUUAAGUCCCGCAACGAGCGCAACCCUCGUUCUAUGUUGCCAGCACGUUAUGGUGGGAACUCAUAGGAGACUGCCGGGGUCAACUCGGAGGAAGGUGGGGAUGACGUCAAAUCAUCAUGCCCCUUAUGUCUUGGGCUUCACGCAUGCUACAAUGGCCGGUACAAAGGGCUGCGAUACCGUAAGGUGGAGCGAAUCCCAAAAAGCCGGUCUCAGUUCGGAUUGGGGUCUGCAACUCGACCCCAUGAAGUCGGAGUCGCUAGUAAUCGCAGAUCAGCAACGCUGCGGUGAAUACGUUCCCGGGCCUUGUACACACCGCCCGUCAAGUCAUGAAAGUCGGUAACACCCGAAGCCAGUGGUCCUAACC
rnacentral:rRNA from 1 species